UGCCCCAUUGGUGUUCCCCCCUGCUGUCCCACCCCGAUACAGGUAUCUCGGGCUUCCCCCCGCCCCUCUCCUCUCCUAUAAAUAUCCCGGGUUUUCCCCUUUUCGGUAGUUUAGCUGUUGCUGGCACCCUUCAGCAAAGCUCUGCCUGAAUAAAGGUUUGUACUUAGCGAAACGCUGGACCAGCUUUCUCGUCCGUGCUUCCCGUGUCGCCUGCCCGCCACCGCUGAGCUGAAAUCACUCGAGACCGCCUGAAGCUGCUCACACGCGCUUCGGCCCAGUCCUUUUCAGGGCUGCCUCUAGAGAAGUCGCGGUGCUCCGGGCUUUCCGUCGCUGCGGCAACUGGACACGGAGCAUUGCUUCAAGGAGGUGCCGAGGGACAAACCUUUGUGCCUGGAAGCAGCAUCUGAGCAGGGCCAAAUACGAGUGGCAAAUCAACGUUGGCAGGGAUCUGCCGGAGGAGAGGAGUUUCUGGUGGGCUCCCAGUGGCAUCUGAUGGAGUGAUGGUGAGAGCAUCUCAUAGGGUCUGGGGGAGCACCUGGAUGCACUUGGAUGUGGAGCACCGCUUAAAGGAGAUGUCCCUCCCCGGUGCCCUCAAUCUGUCACAAGAAUUCCAAGAAAAAAAAAGGCUGAGCAAACAGUGAAAAGAAGGGGUAUAGGUAAGGUGGAGUUCAGGUGUACCCCACCCCAAACCCUAAACAGCAGCCCUAACAGUGCCACCAUUUCCCUGAGACAGCUGCAGGCAGGAACCCUAAAGCAGCAGAGUGCCAGAACCCCCGAGAGCUGCAGGCAGUACCCCUGGUGCUAGGGCCAGCCAGGAAGAGAUAGUGGGUGCUAGGGCCUACUGCUGUCAUAUAAGAUGGGGUUUCCAUCCUUGGGGUACCCUGGGCUCCCUGUCCCUCACUGACUGGAGAGUCUUCCUCCCCUCCUUGAGGUGGUGGUAAUUUGGCUGUGUCAGCCAAUACUGCUCUGAAGCAAGCCUCUGCCUCCCUGUGGGGUGAAGUGUGCAGCCCAUGAACCUGGGCAUUCUCUAGAGAAGGUAAGUGCUGGGUUUUCACAGAUGUGCCGCUAAGAUCCUGCAUUGAUAUUUGGUCUUCUAGAUUGUAGCUGACCAGGAGACGACAUCCUGGCGAUGGCAGGAACUUCCCGGAUAGCGCAACGGCCUUCCAGGGCGUCCUCGUGUGGAUCCUCCCCGCUGGGCAUCCGAGAGCUGAGUCGAAGGCUACAAAUUGCAGAGGGGCUGAAAUCGGGGUGCCGGGUCGGGACUUGUGACCUGGGAUUAUGGAGUCAGCUUUGGGGACAGGGAGGUCCAGGCUGUGGCCCCUUAGGCCACGUGAAGGGAGAGCCUCACAUUUGUUCACAGUGCUGAGGUGUGCAGGACAGAGCAGUCCCGGGGCGUGUUGUAUCACUUGUCCAUUGUGCCUUCUGUGUCUUUUGUGCCUCUCGUGUUGCACGUGCCUCGCCUUAUCUCUUCUGGGGGCUUACCAGAAACCCCGGUGUCACUCGUAGCAUCUCUGUUCUCUGGGCUCCUCAGCCCGACGCCAUCGAAGCUUUGCCUCUGGAGCUCGCAGAGGCCUUGGAAUCGCGUCUCUCUUUUAAAAGCAUCCGAUCGGAUGUCUUUUAGAGGUCUUGUUCCGUGCUGUGUCAACAGCCGUGCGCCGCGAGGAUCCAUUGCUGCGGCUUAGGUCUUGAAGAAACGCAAAGUUUGGUAGGGGACUGUGGCCCUCAGAUUCUCGGGCAUCCGUCUUGGCAGUUGCUGGAGUUUGUCAUUCCGUCAGCAUCUUCUUCCUCCCGGGUUCUGCGAGCUUCAUCAGCUCGCCUUCAUUCUCACCCGGCUCAUCUCGUUCCAUGUUCUCUCGGUCCUUGUGGCCAUUCUUGUGGCCCAGAGUUUUGUCUCCCCGUUGUGUCCCCUCGUCUG